rnacentral:rRNA from 1 species
GAUGAACGCUGGCGGCGUGCCUAACACAUGCAAGUCGAACGAAGCUUGACGGAUGAUUUCUUCGGAAUGAAACCAGAUAUGACUUAGUGGCGGACGGGUGAGUAACACGUGAGCAACCUGCCUUUCAGAGGGGGAUAACGGCUGGAAACGGUCGCUAAUACCGCAUGAUGUGUUCGGAUGGCAUCAUCUGAACAUCAAAGAUUUAUCGCUGAAAGAUGGGCUCGCGUCUGAUUAGAUAGUUGGUGGGGUAACGGCCUACCAAGUCUACGAUCAGUAGCCGGACUGAGAGGUUGAACGGCCACAUUGGGACUGAGAUACGGCCCAGACUCCUACGGGAGGCAGCAGUGGGGAAUAUUGCACAAUAGGGGAAACCCUGAUGCAGCAACGCCGCGUGAAGGAUGACGGUUUUCGGAUUGUAAACUUCUUUUCUUAGUGACGAAGACAGUGACGGUAGCUAAGGAAUAAGCAUCGGCUAACUACGUG